AUUGAACGCUGGCGGCAUGCCUUUCACAUGCAAGUCGAACGGCAGCACGGGAGCAAUCCUGGUGGCGAGUGGCGAACGGGUGAGUAAAGCAUCGGAACGUGCCCAGUCGUGGGGGAUAACGUAGCGAAAGCUACGCUAAUACCGCAUACGAUCUGUGGAUGAAAGCGGGGGACCGUAAGGCCUCGCGCGAUUGGAGCGGCCGGUGUCAGAUUAGGUAGUUGGUGAGGUAAAGGCUCACCAAGCCGACGAUCUGUAGCUGGUCUGAGAGGACGACCAGCCACACUGGGACUGAGACACGGCCCAGACUCCUACGGGAGGCAGCAGUGGGGAAUUUUGGACAAUGGGCGCAAGCCUGAUCCAGCAAUGCCGCGUGCAGGAUGAAGGCCUUCGGGUUGUAAACUGCUUUUGUACGGAGCGAAACGGCUUCCACUAAUACUGGGGGCUAAUGAUGGUACCGUAAGAAUAAGCACCGGCUAACUACGUGCCAGCAGCCGCCGUAACAC
rnacentral:rRNA from 1 species